rnacentral:rRNA from 1 species
UGGGGAAUAUUGGACAAUGGGCGAAAGCCUGAUCCAGCCAUGCCGCGUGUGUGAAGAAGGUCUUCGGAUUGUAAAGCACUUUAAGUUGGGAGGAAGGGCAGUAAAUUAAUACUUUGCUGUUUUGACGUUACCGACAGAAUAAGCACCGGCUAACUCUGUGCCAGCAGCCGCGGUAAUACAGAGGGUGCAAGCGUUAAUCGGAAUUACUGGGCGUAAAGCGCGCGUAGGUGGUUUGUUAAGUUGGAUGUGAAAUCCCCGGGCUCAACCUGGGAACUGCAUUCAAAACUGACAAGCUAGAGUAUGGUAGAGGGUGGUGGAAUUUCCUGUGUAGCGGUGAAAUGCGUAGAUAUAGGAAGGAACACCAGUGGCGAAGGCGACCACCUGGACUGAUACUGACACUGAGGUGCGAAAGCGUGGGGAGCAAACAGGAUUAGAUACCCCGGUAGUCCCUGAGCGGGCUGGCAAGGCGCAU